rnacentral:rRNA from 1 species
AGUGAACGCUGGCGGUAGGCCUAACACAUGCAAGUCGAACGGCAGCACAGUAAGAGCUUGCUCUUACGGGUGGCGAGUGGCGGACGGGUGAGGAAUACAUCGGAAUCUACUUUUUCGUGGGGGAUAACGUAGGGAAACUUACGCUAAUACCGCAUACGACCUACGGGUGAAAGCAGGGGAUCUUCGGACCUUGCGCGAUUGAAUGAGCCGAUGUCGGAUUAGCUAGUUGGCGGGGUAAAGGCCCACCAAGGCGACGAUCCGUAGCUGGUCUGAGAGGAUGCUCAGCCACACUGGAACUGAGACACGGUCCAGACUCCUACGGGAGGCAGCAGUGGGGAAUAUUGGACAAUGGGCGCAAGCCUGAUCCAGCCAUACCGCGUGGGUGAAGAAGGCCUUCGGGUUGUAAAGCCCUUUUGUUGGGAAAGAAAAGCAGCAGGUUAAUACCCCGCUGUUCUGACGGUACCCAAAGAAUAAGCACCGGCUAACUUCGU